rnacentral:ncRNA from 13 species
UUAAAAAAGCAAAUUUUGGAUAUUACGGGAAUUAGGUGCAAGUCCUAGGCUGUCCCAGCAACUGUAAUGCUGAUGAACACUAUAAAAAUCCAUUGAGAUAAAGAUCUUGAGAAGGAAUAGUAAGUAAAAUGAAGCUAAGCCAGUAGACCGAUCUAAAAAUUUACAAACCAA